GAUGAACGCUGGCGGCGUGCCUAAUACAUGCCAGUCGAGCGAACAGAUAAGGAGCUUGCUCCUUUGACGUUAGCGGCGGACGGGUGAGUAACACGUGGGUAACCUACCUAUAAGACUGGGAUAACUUCGGGAAACCGGAGCUCAUACCGGAUAAUAUUUCGAACCGCAUGGUUCGAUAGUGCAAGAUGGUUUUGCUAUCACUUAUAGAUGGACCCGCGCCGUAUUAGCUAGUUGGUAAGGUAACGGCUUACCAAGGCGACGGUACGUAGCCGACCUGAGAGGGUGAUCGGCCACACUGGAACUGAGACACGGUCCAGACUCCUACGGGAGGCAGCAGUAGGGAAUCUUCCGCAAUGGGCGAAAGCCUGACGGAGCAACGCCGCGUGAGUGAUGAAGGUCUUCGGAUCGUAAAACUCUGUUAUUAGGGAAGAACAUACGUGUAAGUAACUGUGCACGUCUUGACGGUACCUAAUCAGAAAGCCACGGCUAACUACGUG
rnacentral:rRNA from 1 species